rnacentral:rRNA from 1 species
UACAGAGGUCCCAAGCGUUGUUCGGAUUCACUGGGCGUAAAGGGUGCGUAGGUGGCGGGGUAAGUUUGAUGUGAAAUCUCCGGGCUUAACCCGGAAACUGCAUUGAAUACUAUUCUGCUCGAGGUUUGGAGGGGGGACUGGAAUUCUCGGUGUAGCAGUGAAAUGCGUAGAUAUCGAGAGGAACACCAGUGGCGAAGGCGAGUCCCUGGACAACACCUGACACUGAGGCACGAAAGCUAGGGGGGCAAACAGG